UACGUAGGGGGCAAGCGUUGUCCGGAUUUAUUGGGCGUAAAGAGCGUGUAGGCGGCCAAAUAGGUCAGCUGUGAAAACUCGAGGCUCAACCUCGAGAUGUCGGCUGAAACCAUCUGGCUAGAGUCCGGAAGAGGAGAAUGGAAUUCCCGGUGUAGCGGUGAAAUGCGCAGAUAUCGGGAAGAACACCCGUGGCGAAGGCGGUUUUCUAGUUUAUUCCUGACGCUCAUGCCCGAAAGCUAGGGGAGCAAACAGG
rnacentral:rRNA from 1 species